AGAUAAAGAAACCAAGGCUCAGAGAGGUUAAGAAACUUGCCUGAGGACACACAGCUAGAAAAUGGAUGCUGGAGAGAAAAUAAGGCUCUUUCUACCCAAGAUGUGGUAAUACAGAUACUGAGAGUCAACAUAUGUCCCAGGGUCCACAGUAUCUGGAACUGGGGAGAGCAGAGAGGAAACUUGGUGUGGGCUGUGCAGGCCUCCCCAUUGGCCGGAGGGUGCCUUUCUUCACUCAAGCUCACCCAAUUUGGCAUCCCCCGCAGCUUUCAAAUUCAGGGGAAAAAUGCUGUACUAAUGGAGAAACAUCUCUGAAGGUCACAGCCCAGAGACACAGACUGAUUAAAAGACAGAGAUUUAAUGACUGGAUCAUAGCACGCUUCUCCUUCCCCACUUUACUAGCACAUCAGCCGGGCUCCAGUGUGACAGCGGUGACAGCUGAAAGAGUGGCCAGGUGCAAACCCCAACGAGGAGCUCAGGACAGGCCAGCCAGGAGGGGAGACACAACCAACACUCUGGAGGAAUCUGAAGCCAUUGGCACCUGCAGCUAUCGAAAGUGUUGAACUCCUCGCACAACCUCCAGCCAGCCUAAUAUAAUCUUCAUGCCAAAGGCUAUUUAUCUCACUUAUUAUCCAAAACAACAUGUCUGGCUUUCAUCAAAAAAUUACAAGAGAUGCCAAAAGCAAGCAAAAACAGUUCAAAGAGAUAAAGCUAGCAGCAGAACUAGAUUCAGAUAUGACACAGGUGUUGGGAUUAUACAGCAGAUAAUUUAAAAUAACUAUUGUUAGUAUGUUACAGGGUCUAAUGGAAAAGGAAGAUAGCAUGGAAGAAAAGAUGGGUAAUAUAAGCAGAGAUGGAGACUCUAAGAAAGAAGCAAAGGAAAUGAUAGAAAUAAAAGAUACUGCAACAUGUAUGUGAUGGGCUCAUCAGUAGACUGGACAUCAAGGAUAAAAGUCUGUGAUACUGAAGAUGAGACAAGAGGAACUUCCCAAAGUGAAAUGCAAAGAGAAAAAAUAAUGAACCAACAAAACAAAACUACACUUAGGCAUAUCACAUUCAAACUGCAGAUAAGCAAAGACACAGAAAAAUAUCUUGAAAGAAGUCACGAGUGGAAGAAAUACCUUUCCUACAGAGGAACAAAGAGAAGAACUGCAGCAGACUUCUCUUCAGAAACCAUGCAAGCAAGAAAGAUUGUACUGAAAUAUUGAAACUGAUGAAAGAGAAACCCACCAACCUAGAAUUCUAUAGGCAAAGAAAUUGUCUUUCAAAACUGAAGGAGAAAAGAAGUUCUUUAGAGAGAGAGAAAAUGAUAUAGGUCAGAAACUUGGACCUAG